UACGGGGGGGGCAAGCGUUGUUCGUAAUUACUGGGCGUAAAGGGCUCGUAGGCGGCCAACUAAGUCAUACGUGAAAUCCCUCGGCUUAACCGGGGAACUGCGUCUGAUACUGGAUGGCUUGAGUUCGGGAGAGGGAUGCGGAAUUCCAGGUGUAGCGGUGAAAUGCGUAGAUAUCUGGAGGAACACCGGUGGCGAAGGCGGCAUCCUGGACCGAUACUGACGCUGAGGAGCGAAAGCCAGGGGAGCAAACAGG
rnacentral:rRNA from 1 species